UUUUUCUGUGGUGAUCUUAAUAAUCAUUGCACUCUUUUUAUUCUUUAAUUGGUUUUCGAAAACUGAUUAAAAGAGGAGUAAUCCUCCCUGCACCUCCUGGAUCUCGUCCUGCAUCUCCUCCCUCACGUUUAAUUUCAACUGUGUCCCUAUCAGCCUUGUCCCCCUAUGGUCUUGGGUUUAUAAAAAGUAACUCUGCCGCAAUUCAAAAAAACCCUACACCCCC
rnacentral:lncRNA from 1 species